rnacentral:misc_RNA from 1 species
GAUGAAGAACGCAGCGAAAUGCGAUAAGUAAUGUGAAUUGCAGAAUUCAGUGAAUCAUCGAAUCUUUGAACGCACCUUGCACUCCUUGGUAUUCCGAGGAGUAUGCUUGUUUGAGAGUACUGUAAUCAUCAAUCCUCCUUUACUUUUGUGAAGUUGGCUUGGAUUUGGGGAUUUGUUGGCCUUUCAUUAGAUCUGGCUUCCCUUGAAUGCAUUAGUUGAAUCGAGUUACAACGUUACGUGUAGUGUGAUAAUAUCUUCACUGCAUAGUUGUAAUGAAGUUUGGCUUCUAACAGUCCUUCAUUGGACAAUACUUUGAACAUUAUACCUCAAAUCAAGUAGGACUACCCGCUGAACUUAAGCAUAUCAAUAAGCGGAGGA